GACGAACGCUGGCGGCGUGCCUAAUACAUGCCAGUCGAGCGAAGUUUUUCUGGUGCUUGCACCGGAAAAACUUAGCGGCGAACGGGUGAGUAACACGUAAAGAACCUGCCUCAUAGACUGGGACAACUAUUGGAAACGAUAGCUAAUACCGGAUAACAGCAUUAACUGCAUGGUUGAUGUUUGAAAGUUGGUUUUGCUAACACUAUAAGAUGGCUUUGCGGUGCAUUAGCUAGUUGGUGGGGUAAAGGCCUACCAAGGCGACGAUGCAUAGCCGACCUGAGAGGGUGAUCGGCCACACUGGGACUGAGACACGGCCCAGACUCCUACGGGAGGCAGCAGUAGGGAAUCUUCCGCAAUGGGCGAAAGCCUGACGGAGCAACGCCGCGUGAGUGAAGAAGGAUUUCGGUUCGUAAAGCUCUGUUGUUAGGGAAGAAUGAUUAUGUAGUAACUAUACAUAGUAGAGACGGUACCUAACCAGAAAGCCACGGCUAACUACGUG
rnacentral:rRNA from 1 species